CCUACACACACUACGUUACCUAUAUACACACACACACUACAGCCCAUAUGCACACACUCGCUACAUUCCCUAUACACACUAUGCCCCCUAUACACACACUCUCUACAGCCCUUAGCCACACAUAUUACACCACAAACACAAAUGAAAUCAACCUAUUUACACAAUACCACACCACAAUCAGCUCACUCUACACACACGUAAUCCCACAAGUAGGCUCCAAACACAUGCACAAUACGCUUUCCUGGCCCUUUUGUCCUC